rnacentral:lncRNA from 8 species
AUGAAAUUGGCCUUAAAAGUCUUCCUUCAGUUGGGCACCAAUGAAUCAAAGUCUGAGGUCCUGGAUGUCUUUGGAGCUUUGAACAGUCUCAACAGUGAUAACGUCCAAAAUGUGCAGUUCAUCCACCUGUGGUUCAACGUCCAGCUGGUACCUCUUUUACCCCACAUUACCGGAGACUUCGUGACCCUGUUGAGCACAAGAGACUUCAGCUGCAGCUCCUAUCAGGCACUGUACGUUGACAAUCAUUCUGAUUCUAAUAUUAUUAAGGAAAUUGUCCUCUACAAUGUUGUUUCAUCUAAAUGAUUUUCUUUUUAAGGGUCAUGGGAUUGAGUGGUGAACUGGAAUCCAUUAAUGAAGAGCAGAAACAAUUGAUCUACAAUCACUUUAUCCGUCUUUUCCUGUUCAGAAAGGGAUCAUCAGGUAUUUAACAUUUUAAGAAAAGCAGAAUUUGCAAAUCACUCUAACAUGUAAGAUUUAAUUGUGUUGUUAAUUUUUUUAAAUAAAUUAUUCAUCAGAAAGUAAAGUGAUGUAUGUUUUAAUUGUUGUGGCAGAUCCUGGAUGCUUGGGAAAUGUAAAUGAAAGUGCAGACUGGUUGUUGAAAAAUUUUGGAAACUUUUCGAGUAUUGCUGAUUUAAAGGAUCUGUACGAACUAAACCAGCAUUUCUCUGGGGUGAGUAUUUCAAAAUCUCAUUUUAAGCACUGACGAUGAAAAUAGUGACAAAACAGAAAUCCAUGAUUAAAACCAGUUUUUUUUUUAGCUGGAGGUUUUGAACGUCCUUUCACCAAACCAAAAGGCAGAAUUGAUACUGGACCCAAGCACUGGCGCUCUGGAGAAUGAGACUCUUGUGAAGGAAGUUUUCAUCAGCUUGCUGGAAUCUCCAAGGGAAGAGCAGCUCAAUGAGUUCUUUGUGACUUUUGUUGAAGUCAACAAGCAGGUCAGUACAUCACUCUCUGGCUGGAAUGGACCUUGUACAGGGAGACCUGGCUCUCGACAGUCAUCUGACAAAACAAUCAGGAUGAAUGGAUGUCCUCCUAAACCAUGAACCAUUUAUUUUACAGGAAAACAUCACUAUCAUCACAAACACGGCCGUAAGAGACACAAUGCUAAACCUGACCUUGAUGGCUCUUGCUCCCAAAUUUGACGUUUUUGAGCCAAAAGACUUCCAGCUGUGGUUCCAAGUCAAUCUGGUUGUUCUGCUGGCCAGCUUCCAUCCUGGCAGAUUGGUUGAUAUCCCCCUAAACAUCACCUGUGAAUCCUACAAUGCCAUGUAAGAGACUACUUUACACCAAACAAACGUACAAGGCACUGCCUCGUAAAGUACAGAUUGACAAAAGACUGCACUAAUGUCUCUCUUUCCUUUUUCUCUCAGAUUUACGGGUCUCGACCAAAGUUUGGAAUCUCUUCCGCCUCACCUCUCACAGGGUGUACAGUCAAGCUUGGAUGCACUGAUGAAGACAUUCCAACGUAUGUGAUAAACUGCUAUUUUUCAACAUCAGACACUGUAUCAUCUGAGCCCAGCAUUUAUAGAAGAUUUAAAAAUCUCCAAACAGGCAUUCUGUUAUUUUGUUUUCUCAUAUGCUCCGAAAUCUUCCCGUUGAUUAAGUGACCUUAUUUAAAUUAUCUCCCUCAUAGGUUGCUCAAGGCCUCCAGCUUUAAUUGUGGUAAGUACUCUCUGAAUGGGAUCUUAUUUCAAAUAGACCUUUUGUUUACGAUACGGGAAAGGCC